GAGGAGAGAGAGAGAACGUGAGAGGGAGGAAAGCUUAACAGACAAACAAUGAGCGACAGACACCGGGGGAGAAGAGAAGGACAGACAGGCAGAGAGAAUAAACGGGUGGACAGACUGUGUGAGUUGAGGAUUUUCAGAGCCAGUGAGCUGGAAAAGAGAAGUGGACAACCACUGUGCCCCUGAAAAGAGUGCAUGAAGAAGGUAGGGAGGAGGGCUGUGGAGACAGAAGGAGAGAGAGAGGUGAGAUGGAGGGUCUGCAAAAGGUUGAGGGACCGAAAUAUCUCAUGGACCGUGGACAGUUCUGUAACUGUAGUGAGAUUUGAGGAGACCAUAAAGCAUGUACCUGAGGUACAGAGUAGUGUAUGUUUUGGUUUGACCACAUACAGUUCUAGAAAAUGGAGAUACAAUUCUGUGAAAGAGGUGGAAUAUUUUGAACUUUGAAGUUUUAGAAGGACGGAAGAAUUGACAUGUGAGGAGGACGGGAGACGGAGAUUACAAAGCAAAAAGUCACUUGGAGGAAAAAAUUGAGACAAUCUUUUUUACACAUUAACACAAUCCUCCAUCUGCUGUAAUAUUGCAGACACUGCAUAUGGACAGAAGGAGAGAGAGAGAGAAAGAAGGAGAGGGAGAGAAGGGACGCACCAAAAAAGGGCUGGAGUUAGAGUCGGAGUAACUGCAUGCUUAACAGACACUGUAGAGUCACGGGGAGAGAAGAAUAAGGGGGCGGAGAGACAGAGAGACAGAGAGACAGAGAGACAGACAGACAGACAGACAGACAGACAGACAGACAGACAGACAAAGUGACAGCCCCCAGCAGUCACACACAACCCCCCCCCCCCCACACACACACAAACACAAAUACACACACUGUACAGAGUGAAGGACUGACAGAUGACAGGGGAGUUGCAAGGGGCACAGAGCAAGGAUAGCCGGAUCGAGAGAGAGAGAGAGGGAGGGAGAAAGAGAGAGUGACAGAGACAGGGAGGAAGAGAGAGAGCGGGGAGGCACUGUAAACUAUAGGAAGCCCCGGUGUGAAACAAACAGGGGACAGUGGCUAGAAGAGCUCCACUCCAGAACCAGCCACCAGUCUCCAUGGACUCCAGGGAGUCGCAGCACCGCUGAACCCAGGCCCUCCUGUGCUGAACAGCAUGUCGGCGGGCCCGGGACCUCGUGACUCAGACCUACUGCUGUUGGAACUCCAGGCCCCAGGGCCGGUUGGACUGCAGACACUGUUGGACCUGCUAGUGGGGGUGUACCAAGAGUUCCACUCGUUACCCCUUGCCAGAGAGAAGUACGUCUCGAGCUUCCUACAAUGGGCGGAGCCCCUGGUGAGGCAGGUGAAGAAGACACGCAUCAAGAGGGAUGACUUCCACAUCUUGAAGGUGAUUGGUCGAGGGACCUUCAGUGAGGUGGCUGUGGCGAGGAUGCGUAGCACACAGCAAGUGUACGCGCUGAAGAUUAUGAAUAAGUGGGACAUGCUGAAGCGAGGAGAGACAGCUUGUUACCAGGAGGAGAGAGAGGUUCUGCUGAAGGGUGAUCGAAGGUGGAUCACAGAGCUGCACUAUGCCUUCCAGGAUGACAAUUACCUGUACCUGGUGAUGGACUACUACGUGGGUGGUGACCUGUUGACCCUGCUCAGUAAGUUUGGCGACCGUAUCCCUGAGGACAUGGCCCAGUUCUACUUGGCUGAGAUGGUCAUGGCGAUCGACUCCAUCCACAGGAUGGGCUAUGUGCACAGGGACAUCAAACCUGACAACAUCAUGCUGACGGCGGAGGGCCAUGUCAGGCUGGGGGACUUUGGUUCCUGUCUGAGGGUCCAGGAGGAUGGCAUGGUGUACUCUUCCCUGGCGGUGGGCACACCCGACUACCUGUCCCCAGAGAUCCUGCGUGCGGUGGAGGGAGGGGGAGGCUACGGCCCUGAGUGUGACUGGUGGGCCCUGGGGGUCUGUGCCUACGAGAUGCUGCAGGGGACCACACCCUUCUACGCAGACUCCAUCUCUGAGACCUACGCCAAGAUCAUGAACUUCCAGGAGCACUUUGAGUUCCCCCCGUCUGGCCCCGAGGUUUCAGAUGAGGCCCGUUCCCUCAUCAUGGGGCUAAUCUGUGAGAGGGAGGAUCGUAUGGGGGCCAGGGGUUCUGGGGACUUCAGGGCCCACCCCUUCUUCUGUGGACUAGACUGGGGCUCCCUGCAUGAACUUCCAGCACCCUUCCAACCUGAAGUCUCCAACGCCACUGACACCUCCAACUUUGAUGUGUUAGAUGACUGCCUCAGUGAAAUGGAAACACUGAGUGAUGUUAUGGACAAGGCCCCUAUCGGAGUUCACCUGGCUUUCGUUGGCUACUCCUACACAGCUACAAGACAGACAGGUGCCUUGGAUCGCAGUCGUGACAUCAUGAUGGAGAUUGACCACCAGCGACACCUUGGGUUGCCAAGCUUCAAUUUCCAGGAUAAGCUUAGUCAGAUGUGGCAGCUCAGAGAUGUCCUGACCACGCCUGACAACCUGCCUGCCCUGCUUGAGCUCCCCCUAGCCUUGGAGCAGGGUACUGCAGAGUCGACUCACACCACAACAGAGGAGGAAGAGGAGGAGAACGACCAGAAUUCAGUACUUGAUGAGGAUCUGCAUAGGCGGCUGCAAGAGGCAGAGAAGAGGAAUGGAGAGCUGGAGAAAGAGAUGGAGAGACUGAGAGGGGAGAUCCAGGGCCUGAAGUCCCCCAAGGAGACAGAACUGCGUGUCUGCCCGUCGUCUCUUUCUCUGCCUGCACACUGUCUGGACGAUGCGAGUGCGGCAAGCUGUGCUGUGCUGUGCUGUGACUCGCACAAAAAAAAGACUGCAUCUGUACCCUGGCCUGCAAUCCUGUUCAGUUCGUGACUGUGAGUGUGUUUCAGGGGAAGAAAUCGCCCCCUGCCUGUCACUACCCGCUGGUGAUCCCUCUCCACCGCCACCUGCUGCUGUUUCACAGGAUGCGCUGGCCACAGGAGAGGAGU